rnacentral:rRNA from 1 species
UACGGAGGGGGCAAGCGUUGUUCGGAAUUACUGGGCGUAAAGGGCGCGCAGGCGGCUGCUCAAGUCAGGCGUGAAAGGCCUGGGCUCAACCCGGGAAUUGCGCUUGAGACUGGGCUGGCUUGAGUGCGGGAGAGGAUGGUGGAAUUCCCAGUGUAGAGGUGAAAUUCGUAGAUAUCAAGCGGAACACCGGUGGCGAAGGCGGCCUUCUGGACAGAUACUGACGCUGAGACACGAAAGCGUGGGGAGCAAACAGG